UCCCGCGUGGUCUGGCGGUUAGGAUUCCUGACUCCCACCCAGGCGGCCCCGGUUCGACUCCCGGCGCGGGAG
rfam:Schistosoma mansoni strain Puerto Rico chromosome 1, complete genome